rnacentral:lncRNA from 1 species
CAGACAUGAAACUGCAAAUCAAAUAGCAAUCCACAUGCUUUCUGAUGGGUCUGUUAAAAAUAAGGCAACCUGCCCAAAAUGGAGUUUCUUAGGCUAAGACCCAUGUCACCAACUGAAUUAACUUAAUUUUAGUUUCCAUUCCCAGAAAUAGAAUCUGAAACUAGUGAUCAGAAAUUGCCUAAUCAGCAUCAGUUAAGUAAUCUGCCUGAUAGACCCUCGCCAUCCCCUAAAGAAAAGUGACCCUACGAUACUCAAUUUGCUUUUUGUCUAGUAACUUCUCAUCCCACCUCCUUUCUGAACGUAAAUGCCACUUUGCACGGACUCUUGGGGCUCCUUCCUAACUGCUAAUUUGGAUGCUGCACAAUUUAAAUCCAUUUUUGCUCAAAUAGAACUUUUAACAUGCCUCAGUUUAUCUUAUCACAAGGUCUGGUGACUGAACAGGGAAACAAGGAGACCUUUGAUGGCCCUCAGCGGCAACGAGCAACAGCAGCGAAGGUGCCUGAGGAAUCCCUUGAGUCGCUGCUUCCUCACUGCCUCUGGAGGUGGUGGUUCCUGGUGACCACUGGGACACACUACUGUCUCCAGAACCUGCAGAGGGGAUCCAGGGAAAUCUGGCAGGAGCCAGCCAAAGAUGAGAAUACUUGUGUGGUGCUAAGCUGCUUCAGUCAUGUCCAGCUCUUUGCAGCCCUAUGGACUGUAGCCCACCAGGCUCUUCUGUCUAUGGGAUUCUCCAAGCAAGAAUACUGGAGUGAGUUGCCAUGCCCUGCCCUCCAGGGGAUCUAUCUUCCCGAAUCAAAUCUCAAACUCCUGUCUGUCU